AGAGACUGAAAGUCCACAGGAGUAUAACGCAUUCCAUAAGGAAAACUCACUAGGGAGAUAGAGAAUCUAGGGAAAAAGUUGUGCGUAGGCCAGGAUACGACUUAAAAACUACUGGGGACACAAGGGUAAUUCCAUGAAAAUAAAUCAAUGGAAAGACUCAGCCGGGGAUGGAUGGAAAUCCGCAGGGGAAAUAGGUAAAUUAGGGUGAAACUGAAAUACUCGACCCAAACAGGAAACGAC
rnacentral:lncRNA from 1 species